CGGACUCAACGCCGGGAAACUCACCAGAUAAGACAGCUGAAUGAUAGUCGGGCUGAAGACUCUACUUGACUAGCUGAGAGGAGGUGCAUGGCCGUCGUCAGUUCGUACUGUGAAGCAUCCUGUUAAGUCAGGCAACGAGCGAGACCCACGCCAACAGUUGCCAGCUCGUCCUCCGGGAUGGUGGGGACACUGUUGGGACCGCCUCUGCUAAAGAGGAGGAAGGAAUGGGCAACGGUAGGUCAGCAUGCCCCGAAUUAUCUGGGCUACACGCGGGCUACAAUGGGUGGGACAAUGGGUAUCGACACCGAAAGGUGAAGGCAAUCUCCUAAACCCAUCCGUAGUUCGGAUUGUGGGCUGCAACUCGCCCACAUGAAGCUGGAAUCUGUAGUAAUCGUGUCUCAAAAUGGCACGGUGAAUAUGUCCCUGCUCCUU
rnacentral:rRNA from 1 species